AUGUCAACAAAAGGAAAGCCUAGGAAGGCCUCUUUGAACGGGACGGGAGCGGGAGCGAGCGGGGCAGGCCUGCCUGUGAGCCUCCGGGCACUGCGUUCGCUGGGCUCCCUGCGGAUGCUGACUGUUGCUACAGAGAAAUCAUAAUGAGAGAGGAAAAUAAAGCGUAUCUGCUUACACCUGGCAAGAUCUGUGGGUUGAGACUGGCCCUGGCACUGCAAUAGAUCUUCUUCUGGCUUCACACAGAAGGAAGUUAAGGCUCAGAGACGUGACGUACUUCUGCCCCAGUGCGCAUGGCCUCCAUUAGAAUGUACCAGGGAUGGCCUGCUGGAGGAUAAGGGACAAGUGGAGCAGAGCUGAGUCACCCCAGAAGCCUCUGCUGAAACCAGUCUAGAUCACCUGACUCCCAGUGAGGAUCGUGACAGCUCCUUUGGGGAUGUGUUGUGAAGUCUGAAGCAGAUAAAGCACGGGAUGUGCUAACACAAUGUCAAGUUUGCAGGAAAUGCUCGCUAAAUGGGAACCAUUUCCAGAUUCCAACUGCCAGAGAAUCAAAUGACUCCAGCAACACUUCUGGGGUGUCAGGUUUUGCUUAAUCCAACUGCCAUAGUGAGAAAGGAAGAAGCUACAACAGCUCUGCCCAGAUCGGAUACCCUGGCAUCGGCAGUUGGGUUUAACGGUGUGAGACACCUGGAUAAACUGAAGAGGUGAAAAUUAAAAUAAAGUACCUGCAGCACCACAG